ACGGUUUUUGAGACGAGCGAUAGAUGGCAAAGAGAAGCCUAGGUCAAGGAAACUUGCACCAGUGUGGCUUCACCCCUUACCGAGGGACCACACCCGGUCCCCCCACAGAUGCUCGGUCCUUGUGUUUAUUCUCCUCUCUUACGAAAACGGCGCUCUUGUUCAAAGGCUAUGGAUUCUUAGUCUCGACCUUCGCAGGGCUUUGCGGCCGUUCUGCUUCGAGACGUCGCUGGUUGGACAGCCUUGUGCGUUCCUAGCUUUGGCGUCUCGCAACUACCGCUUUUCGGAAUAUUCGUGCGGAACAGACGCGGAGGCAGCUUGCCUUACGUGAUAACUCUAUUCACAGCGUCGUUGAGCAGGCUCUGGGCAACGCCUUGGAGCUCCUGAACCGUCGACUGUUGCUGCGCAUUCAACUGUCCCAAAAGUCGUCGUGUCGUCCUCUCCUAGGACGCAUCACCCAGCGAAGAAUCAAUAUGGUAAACGAGGAAGAACCCGCGCGAGAACGAUGCAGUGAAGCGUUAACGCGCCUGGGACGUUAACACGGAACGAGAAGAUCGCACCUAGAAAGUGCGUCUCUUUUCGAGUGUCGACAGAAAUGCGCCGAUUGGGGUCCUCGCCGAGUGGGCGAGGCUUUCUAUGGAGAGCCGGGUUGUUAGAAACGAUGGUCCUUCAUCUAAACCUUUCGUAUCCAAGUGUGAUUUCUGCUUGUUUUGGAGUUUCUACCUCGUUUUAGUGAGGCAGCAGAGAAACACCGCCAUACAUCAGCAAGGAAGCGCACACGGUGAGAAACUGCAAUCGAACGCAAGAAUACAUUUCGAGCAUCAACGGCCACGCGAGAGCCGGACGACGAACGCACCUGAUGAUGUAGACCAACAGCGCGGCCUUGAAUGAGGCGUGUGAUCUGAAAAGAAAUAGCACGAAAAAUGAGCCUCUGCUUUAUAGAGCCUAUUGAUGGGCAAACUCACAUUCUUUCGCCAUUCAGCGAACCGUUUAAAAGUAGGACGAUAUGUGAAACGAGCAAACACAACGUAUAAACAACCUAUGAAAGGCAAUAUCGACUGUGAUACAAAGAGUCGCGGGCAGGCAGUGUACGAGCCGUCGAACUAACUGCAUGUCGCAUUUGUCGCAGCGGGUGGCCAUCGCAUUUCUGCUCCCCGUUUGCUCUGAAGAAAGAUGCAGUGGAGAUCCCGAUCCAGGAGCGCAGGCAUAUGUCUUCUGGGCAAGGCUGACAGUGUUGUGUUUUGCGGCGUCCCCCUGACGCUUUUCUCUCGGGUCGCAACCGAGUCAUGUCCGGUGACGGGCCGACACGGGUCCGUCAAGGACAGAAACGACCGGUGUAUCGGCAGGUAUCGCAGAAAGCUCACCUCUGCAAGUUCCUGAGCAACGCGCAUGUUAGUGCUCUUGCACGCGUCGCCUUCGCGCUUCAGCGUCUGAUAGACCUCUCUAGAGCCAGCGUCGGGGGCCGGCGGCUGUUCCUCUGUGUCUCGCGAAUGCCUGCGGUAUCUCUGUUUGGCAUUCUCUCGGUCUGUUGGUCCACACCGCGUGCACUCGCUCGGCCUUCCUUGCGGGCACCGCUCAGAGAAGGCGGGACUAUUUUGCUCCGACCGUUUCGCUCUCGACGAGCGUGUAUGAGACAGCCGGCGCGCGGCGGCCGCUGUAGGUGCGCAUUUCGCACACGAAGGGGCGUCCUGGGGGGUUUCUGCACUGUGCCGCCGUGGACCGGAUCUGCCUUGUGGUCCUUGAGUUCUACGGGGUUGGGCGCUCGCGACAGACGGCGAAGCAGAGCCACAGCCCCCGAGUGCAUACCCUGCGUCUUCAUCCGCGGAGAAGGGACGCAUUCUACAGGGGGUUCGGAGCACAUGCGCGCCACACGGAUAUCCUGGUUUGUCCGAGUCGGACCAGUUGCAUUUGCCAGAGCAGGGACAAGGAAGGGUCCAGAAGGUUUCUUUUUCUGCAUGAGACCCGCGGGCCUGCAGCAGCGGUUGAACAACACCGCUGGCUUCUCCGUGUAUAGGACGGUCGCCGCCUCCCCGUAGGUGACUCUGUACGCCGCUGCAUGCACAGGAUUCCGCGGAAGUAGGGAGCAGCCCUGCAGUCACAUGCUCCUGGCAAGAGAGGCGCGAGCAAACACCGGAAGGCGGGCGACACGGCUCUAGGCCUGCAGCGAGUGUGGCCUUCACAAGGGCCGGCACGGCGUUGCCGCCGGACGGCCUUGCACGCCGCGACACUGGGAGAGUCAGCCGAGGAGAAUGACGCGGGCGAGGCGCUUGGGAAGGAUCAAAAGAAGGGAGCGGAUGUGCGAAGCGAUGAGACGGAAACGCGCGUGCUCUUGGGGGCGAGUGUGUAUGGUCAGGACAGCACUGAAGCCUCUGGAGACAGUCGCGCCUCUGCCUCGCAAACUGAUGCAGGUUUGCUUGGUCGCCCGGUCGGCCAUCAGGCAGCUCUCCCCGUAGCUGCCGCCCGCUGCCCGCAAACGUCCGCCUCCCUUCCUCAGCCCUCGCCGGCAAGCUGCGAUUUUCCAGAGCCUGCGCACAGGGUCGGGGGGGGUUGCCUCGUCCGGGGGAGCGCGGCGAAGCAGGGCAGCAAGGUCGGUGCACGGAAUUGGGAGGAACAGGCCUCGACGCAUCGGCCGGUCUGGAACCAAAAACGGAAUAACAAGCAGGUGAGAGGUUCGCACCCGUUGCCUCAGAGGAAACGUUCCCUUGGCGAACAGUUUCCUCCUUCGAGGCAACGGCGGCGCCCGACUGGAAAGGAAAAGCAUCGAUGCCACGAGCUGGGCGGUGCGACCGCGGACACGCCGGCUCUGCUGGCGGCUCGGCUGUCCAGGGACCUGCCAGGUGAGACGCUCGAGCGCAUGCGCGCUCGUCGGAAGUUUGUAGGCCAUAUCCCGGAAACUGGAUCUCAGGAGGGGGGGCGUGUCGACAGGUCGGAGAAAGCGGAGAGUCGUAAACGGCCUCGAGUUCGAUGAGGCGAGCAACUGUGGAGGUGCCAGCAGGAAAACAGGAGCAAGGACGGGCCCCUUGCAGGGACGAGGACGCCUUUCUCUCUCGCAUCAUUUCUGAAUGCAGGACAAAGUCGGCGCGAUCAACGGAGGAAGAACUGCGGUCACGUGAGGGAGCGAUCGGCAGAUGAGGAGGGGGAGACAGCCCGCGCGGACCCACGGACUCGCGAGCGGAAAAAGAUGUGUAGGGCCAUCUCCAGUGCAAUUCCGUGGAUAAGGGGCUUCGCGAGGCACAGGGUAGAUGGCGACACUGAGUGACUGCCUGUGAAACGGAGUUGAAGAGGGCGACAGUCACCGGCGUACAGCGUGGCGAAAAAAGGCAGGACCAGGAACGCAACACGGAAACUGGGAUAUCUCGCCGGGGCUCAGUUCACCCCCUCGUCGUGCUUCGGAACAGAGAUGGGGCAUCAUCAAACGACGGAGAGACCGGAGAUUCGCGAAAAGGCGGAAACUCUUGAAUCUCGCGUCCCGCACCGGCUCUGGCCCCGGGGCAACGCUCCAUCUGAAUCGCGGAUUGCGUCCCUGCAGAUGCGCGUGUGUGUCUCAUCCACCAAAAAGCGGGCAUUUGACGAACGUGGUACGGGACGGCAAGACCCGCCGGUUUGACGCACGACAUCUGUGUCCCUGUGACGCCUGAAAGGGCUCGUACAUUCACUUCGAAGUCGGAGUCGAAUUCAAGGCAUAGCGCGACCCCUCGGCCGAAGCAGCUCGAGGGGAGGAGAAAUCUUCUGGUGUGGCAUCUAAUCGGCGGUCUCCCGUCCAUAUGAGCCGAAAGAGAUCCACGCAUAACUUGCAAGUCUUCCACUGCGGUUCGUGUAAACAAAUAUACAAGCAAGCUGUCGCCGUCAAGGGAAACAGCCGAGUCGUCUGGUGACCCUCGCCAUGUAGACCCCCGCUCUUGUGCCGGGAAGGCUACGACGGUUCGACUCUCGUCCGGUUCCGGCCAUUUCGGCUCCAGGAGAACGUCGCUCCGGGGCUGAUGAAAGCGAACCAAAAACUGGCGAUUCUAGGGGGGAAAGGAUCAGGUUCUGCAUGCUCCUGAAUAUAUAACGCGCGCUCAUCGUAGUUUCAAAAAUAUAAGAAAGCUCACAAUCGACGCGUUUCGAGCCAUCUGUUCUCUGCAAGGGUCCGUGCGUGUGCACGCUUGUGAUCAAGUCCGGGAAACGAGUCAGGGAGAAUUCCCACGCCUUUUUUGUCGCGUCAUUCCAGUGGAGACAGAAACCAGAAAACCACGAAAAGAGGUAGUGAGCCUUGGAAGAGAAGGAAAACUCAUUUGUUGUUCCUUGGUGACCACACAGCCCUCUAGACGGGAAAAACCUUCCCAGCAACUUUUCACUCGCACAGCGGUGAUGACCUUAUGCAGCCAGCUGUCUACAGCGGGUCCGUCACAUGAAGACACGGAAAGAGCUGACGGACUCAUAUCCGCUUUCGAGUUGGCCUAGGCAUGUACGCUUCUGAAAACAGAGAAUGAUGAACAGACAGACUACGCUUCUUUUAUAAAGCCCGCCUCCUAUGCGCAUGGGGAUACAGGGAGCAGCAUGAACGAGCGUCAAUGGCGACUCCUUUCACAAAAGCAGGGCACCGUCCGGGACAUCCAGAGCCGUGUAUCCUCCUUCACGCAUCUAGACUGAGAAUCCUUUUUUCUCAGCAAGAAAUUCCGCCUGUUGCAGAAGAGUUCUCGAGUCAUCCUCCGCCGUGACGGGAACAGCACGCAUAUGAAGCGCUCACUCAUAAAAGUGGUCCAGGAGGGAACCAAGAAGACUCUUCCAACGCAUCUUGCUCGUAGCUGCUGCGCCUCCGUUUUCGAAGUUUAUCGUUUACGGCUUCCGCGUCCAGAGCACCGAAGGAAGAACUCUCAUUGCACUGGUGCCACGUGCAUCCGGACAGCUGUCGCUCACAUAGACCGGCAAGGUAGCGCCACAGCCCCCAGCUGGAAAGCUAUUUCCAGAAGCAAGCAACCGCGAAAAAAAUAUCCCUGCUCGAGAUUUUAUCAGGAGCAACGCUACAAGCAGAACAGAAAUCGUCAGGGACGCUGACCCCCACGGACAUCCCUGAACCUGGCAAUACCCGUCGUACUCUUUUUCAAGGAAAAACAAUCUCUUGUUUGACGGUGACAGAAGCGAGAAGAGGAGUUUUUGAGCCCACACACACCGAGCAGUUUAUUGUUACUGUCAGAAUGAAGCUGCCUCUGUGCUGCCUUCCGCUUCACCUGUGUUCCACAAGGACGUUGCAGUGUACGCGUGGGCAUAGGCAAAUGCAUAUCCGGAAACCCCUCAGAGACGCACCGCUGAACACCUGUGACCUGAUCCUCAACAAAUGCAGUGCUCAAGAAAUUUCCCUCAGAUGCCUAAAAGAUACGAACCCUC
rnacentral:lncRNA from 1 species